rnacentral:rRNA from 1 species
CAGAGGGUGCGAGCGUUAAUCGGAAUUACUGGGCGUAAAGCGUGCGUAGACGGUUAUUUAAGUCGGGUGUGAAAGCCCCGGGCUCAACCUGGGAAUUGCAUUCGAGACUGAAUAGCUAGGGUACGGUAGAGGGAAGCGGAAUUUCCGGUGUAGCGGUGAAAUGCGUAGAUAUCGGAAGGAACAUCAGUGGCGAAAGCGGCUUCCUGGACCAGUACCGACGUUCAGGCACGAAAGCGUGGGGAGCAAACAGGAUUAGAUACCCUGGUAGUCCACGCCAUAAACGAUGAGGACUAGACGUUGGAGGGGUAAGCCUUUCAGUGUCGUAGCUAACGCGCUAAGUCCUCCGCCGUGGGGAGUACGGCCGCAAGGUUAG